CUCUGAAAAAGGGGAGGAUCUGAGCAAUGAUUAUGUUUAUAAACGGGGCGAAAUUAGUGACAGAGCCAAAGGGUUGAGCAGUACGUUGUGUGUUCGAGAAAAAAGGGGCGAGUUUGACAGAGUUUGAACAAAGCUUCAAUGGCUGAACAGGAUUCAAAUGCUCAAAAGAAGCUAGCCGAGAACUUAUACGAGGCUGUAGGCAAUGAUGAUGUCAUCAAAGUGCGGUCCCUAUUGGGACAGGGGGCAGACCCCAACCACCAGCUCUACUGGAGUGACGAGUGGGGAGAUAAGCUGCCUCCAUUACACAAGGCUUGUUAUGAGGGCUACCUUGAGAUUGUGAAGACACUAGUUACUCAUGGAGCUCGUACUGAUAAAGGUGGUGGGAUGGACAACAUGACUCCACUUCACUGUGCAUGCUGGGGAGGUCAUAACGAGGUGGUGCAGUACUUGAUCCAGGAGGUCGGAUGUAGCACUGAUGUGAAGGAUAAGUAUAACUGGAAUCCUCUUCACUGUGCUUGUGGGGGAGGAAGUAAAGACGUGGUACAGUAUCUGGUGGAGGAGAGGAAGAUGGAUGUUGGUGUAACUGACAAGGAUGGCGAGACUCCUCUUGACUUUGCUACACAAAUGGGUUGCACUGAAAUUGCUGACUAUCUCAAGUCUCUACCACAACAAUUUGCUGUGACUGGAGACACUGACUCCAGGAGUGACGAGAAUGGACCACCACCGACAAAGAAACAAAAAGUGACCUCUGACCCUCUCUCCGGUCAACAGACACCCAGUGCUGGCAAUGAACAACCAGAAACAACUGAUACUCCAAAUGGUUCCACACAACUUUCAAGGGUUGACCAAACCUCAUCAAACACUCCAUUGACUGAGGAAGACUCUGAUGCUCUAGAAAAGCUGCUCCUAGACAACAAAAUCUCUUUGACUGGUGAAAGGACAUAUGAGACAGUUGAACACCACCUUCGUGAGCUCGGACACAGGGAACUAGCUGCCAACCUCAGAGGAAACCUGGACAAAGUUAUCAAAUGGCAGCGUCGAUACCUCAAUAGACUCAUGACUCUAAUGGUUGAUAAAGAAACAAUCGAUAUGUGCACUCUGAAACUAUGUCUCGUUGGUCCGCCUCACGUUGGGAAAACAACCACACUCAAUCGUCUACUGCAAGUGUACGAAAACAUUCAAUCAGCUGUAGACAAAGCGAAACAUCCAAGCACUCUACUAGCUAACUGUAUCCAAGUUAUGGCGUUGAUUAAUAAAGAUGAGUGGAUAUCUUCCAAGGAUGUCGAUGAAGUAGCCAAAAUGAUAUUUGGUUAUCUAUGUGGCAAUUUAACUCUCGAUGAAAUAGAUAUACCCAAUGAAGAAUCGACAAAGGCCACCCGAUCUGAAGAAACAGUACCUUACAAAGUUCACACACAAACUGUACAACACGCCACACUUACCGACUCUGAGGAUAAAGCCGCUGUAGCCCACAGCAACAAACUAGCACAGAUUAUUCUUCGACUGCAAAAGCUGAUAAAGAGCGGAAACUACUCCCAUAUGGCCAAAUGUCUUGGCAACACCUUGCUAAACAUAAACGAUGUCGGAGGCCAACCUGAAUUCCUAGAAAUACUACCAGCCCUGAGCAAUGGUCCUGCCAUGUAUCUAGUGUUCUUGGAUUUGAGCAAGGAACUUGACAAGCCCUACGAUAUUCCCUUCAGUCGAGACGGCAAAGUCAUUACUCCUUAUAAAUCAAUGCACACAGUGAAAACCGCAGUCUCUCAAAUCCUCUCAUCCAUUGCUAGUGUGCGUCACAUGUCGGAAAUUUCGAAGCCUCUCUUAAAAACUCCUCAGUUGAAGGAAAAAUUUGAAGCUUUUUUCACUGUCCCUCCAGUGGCAGCCCUAAUAGGUACCCACAAAGAUAAGCUUGGUGGAGACUCAACAGAUGAUCCAGAAAAAGAAAGAUUGACCAGAGACAAACUGCUGGAGAUAAACGCAGCUUUGAAGCCAACAACCAAAACUUUCAAGAAAAUUUUAGUUUUUCCCAAGCAAGAAAGUAGCACUUCUGAUGACACCGCUGAUAAAGAUGCUUCUGACAGGAUGUCCUUUUUUGCCCUAGAUAACAAUAAAGGCACAGAGAACGCUGAAAUUUCUCCAUUACGUGGCUUAUUGAAUAAACUAUUUUACUCUCACUUCGGCAAAACCUCUCUUCCAAUACCCAAAAAUUGGCUUGUACUAGGAAUUAUUCUUCGAAAGGAAUAUCAAAUUGUUACAGUAGAAGAUUGUAUCGAAAUAGGCAAAAGGUUGGAGAUGGAUGAAGAAGAAACCACAAUCUGUCUCCUCUACCUUCAUAGUAUAGGAUCGAUCCUGUACUAUACGGAUGUUCCCAAUGAUGAUGAUCCACGCUGGCUCCUCAAAGGUCACGUCAUCUGCUUACCUCAAGUGAUUUUCGAUAGCAUAAGCCAACUGAUAAUCGUUUCAAUGCAGAAUGUUCAUGGUGGAGGCCUCGACACUGAGUUUGAGGUAGCAGAAUUGAUCAUGAAAGGUCAGUUCUCUCUAGAGGCCAUCGAUAGACAUUGCAAACUAGAUGUUCAAGUUGCCAAAAAUCUGGAAAAAAAAUUUCUGAUACCAUCUGGACCGCUUGUAAAGCUUCUCAAGUACCUCAACCUUCUCUCUGAGAUCACACACAAAGAUGAAGAUGGUGAACGAGUCACCUACCUCAUGCCGGCUAUAUUGAACUGUGCUUCACAGGACAAGCUGACCAACCCACCUCAACCAGACACCAACAACCCAGAACCACUCCAUAUCACAUUCAGCUUUGGUUACGUACCAACAGGAGUCUUCUGUGGGCUCAUCACUCGACUAGUUUCCCAAGGCCCCCAGGGAAUUCUCGGAUUGAUGUGGGAAUUGGUGGAAGAUGGCGUUAAACGAAAUUAUGUGGAAUUUCUAGUUGCCAAAUCAAACAAGAUCACGUUGCUAGCACAUGCUCGAUGCUACGAAAUUAGAGUUGUCCGCCGUCUUCAUCAGGUCUCUAUCCAUGACCUUUGUACCUACGUUCUCUCGGUGAUGCUCUACACGCUCAAAAGCCUUUACCCACAGUUGAUUCCACAAAUUGCAUUCCAAUGUCCGUGCCCUGAUCACCAGACGAGUGGAGGUAUGGAUAAUCUGUGUGUCCUUGCUAAGGAUUUCUGGGUCCAGUUUCUCUGUAGACACAAGCCAGUCACUCUCAGGAAACAUCAGCAAGUGUGGCUGGGAAAGCACGUGUGUCUAGGAAGCAGGACAGAACUAGAGGUGCUAGAGUUUGCUGAGGAUGGUUUCUCCUUCCACUGGACCAAAGAGGGCUCCAGACGUCAGAUCAAGACAACUGAUGAUCAGCCCAACACUGUGAACUUCCAGAGUGUGAGAGAGGAGGACUUUGGUCACUACCAGUGUGAGGUGAAGGAUGCAGCUGCUGGGAAAGUGCUCCUCACUUUCUACACAGCUCUCUACAAACACCAGUCAAGAUCAUUAUCGGAGAAGGAUACCAGCAAUGGAGACCAGCCGAUUGUUCUGACUGGAGCGGAUAUUAAUACAAUUUGUGAGAGUCUGAAAACAUCCACCUGUAAUUGGUUUAAUUUGGGACUGGCUCUCGAAGUAAACUAUCACGAUUUGAAAAAUAUCGAAAGUCGAUACCAAGAUAAUGAUCGCCGCCUAAUGGAGAUGGUAGCCAAGCGUUUUGAAGUCACUGAUCCAGAGCAUCCGAUGACAUGGCCUUACAUAUGUGAAUGUCUAAGGAGGCCUACUGUUAAGCGUAACGAUGUAGCCGAGGAAAUUGAAGACAAGUAUGUGAGGACAGCAACUGCACAUAGUGCCACCAAUUGAUCAUGAGAACCUGACAAGAUACUGGAGUUACUUGAAAGGGACGAAUAAAGAUGUCAAGUAAUUAAAGAAGCAUGCAAGAAUGUCAAUUUGUUUCCUGCUUCCUGCACCAAUCGAUUACACAUGGCAGGAACUAAAUAUAGCCACAAAGCAGCCACGUGGCUUUGCUUAGAAACUUCAACACAAACAAAUUUAGACAAAUUUACAUGCCACAGCAAACUGAACUGACAAAUUGUUGCAAAAGUAUGAGAUGAAUUUGAACAUGUUCAGUGCUAUCUUAUAGGAUUGAUGAACAUUUAUAUGUAAUUGUUUUUCGUGUCGAUCCAUUGAGAGUCGAGAAAUGCAUCGUUGAAAAUGCUGUAUAAAAAACCACAAAAUAGUACUAGUUGGAGAGAUGUGAGCACACAAUAAGCCACAUUUUGUGUAUUACAUCCAACAGAUGUCCUCCUCAAUACAUUCUAAGCAUCGUCCAAAUCAGUCGUACUUGUAUUCUGUGUGGUACGAAAAAUAUGCUAUUAUUACAGGUCAAAAAUUUUUUUAAUCAGGAAUUGCCUGAACAGACAACUGUAUA